GACGAACGCUGGCGGCGUGCUUAAUACAUGCAAGUCGAACGGAAAGGCCCUGCUUUUGUGGGGUGCUCGAGUGGCGAACGGGUGAGUAACACGUGAGUAACCUGCCCUUGACUUUGGGAUAACUUCAGGAAACUGGGGCUAAUCCCGGAUAGGAGCUCCUGCUGCUUGGUGGGGGUUGGAAAGUUUCGGCGGUUGGGGAUGGACUCGCGGCUUAUCAGCUUGUUGGUGGGGUAGUGGCUUACCAAGGCUUUGACGGGUAGCCGGCCUGAGAGGGUGACCGGCCACAUUGGGACUGAGAUACGGCCCAGACUCCUACGGGAGGCAGCAGUGGGGAAUAUUGCACAAGGGGCGGAAGCCUGAUGCAGCAACGCCGCGUGCGGGAUGACGGCCAUCGGGUUGUAAACCGCUGUCGCCUGUGACGAAGCGUGAGUGACGGUAAUGGGUAAAGAAGCACCGGCUAACUACGUG
rnacentral:rRNA from 1 species